CCCUUAGAUGUUCUGGGCUGCACCCGUGCUACACUGGCAGGUUCAGCGAGCUUCAUGCCCUGAUCUGAAAGGAAUGGGAAAUCUUUUCAAAACCUGCCGUGCUUGGGAUAGAUGUUUGCAAUUAUUCAUCUUCAACGAGGAUUGCCUUGUAAGCGCACGUCAUCAGCGUGCAUUGAAUACGACCCUGUAUUCUGUACACACCGCCCGUCGCUCCUACCGAUUGAAGUUUUCGGUGAGUUGACAGGAGGAUUUUUUUGAAACUGGUUCGCCAGUGGAUUUUAGAUCCAAAUUCCAACGAAUCGAUGGCUUUAGAGGAAGGAGAAGUCGUAACA
rnacentral:rRNA from 1 species